AAAUAUGAUGCAACCGAGGGUGUCAGGAGCACAUUUCUGAACAUGUCUGAUAAAGCUGCCAAGCUUGCUUCCUUGGGAAUGAAGUGGAUUAGUCGUUCCUUGUUCAGUUUUAUCCUCACUCACUUCCUUCCAACAGUUCGGCCCUUCAAAUCCUUAUAAUACACCAAUAAAGACAAGUGGAGUUUGAAUGCUAACUAUAUGUGUGUCAGAGAGGAAGUGAGAUUGGAGAGAGGAAGUACGCCCACCUGCACUUUCCUGUAACUCAAGGAGGAAUGAAGAGGAAAUGAAAAUUCGUUAGAUGCUAAGAAAAAUCUGCCAAUUGCGAAUGGCCCUGGAGAAAGUAGUCAGGCCAUGCAAAGAAUGGUUUCCACUGUCAGUUUCACUGUUGUGGCAAUAAGGGACAUGUGAGAAGGACUCAACAAGCGUCGGCUUGGUUCGAAAAGAAGGUAAUGAACUUUCGUUUGUCUGUUUGAAUCAAAUCUUGCUGAGUACCUUCUUAUACAUGGUGGAUUGAUUCGGACCACAACUCAUAUUUUCAAAUCUAUGUGCAGGAUACCUUACAAACCCGGAAAACCGGAGGAAAGUGAUAGAUUCCGUCUUAUGGGGAACCGUCUCAAACUCCAGUGGUAGUUGUUGGCACUUACCGUUUGAUUUUGGAGACUGGUCAUCAAUGGGAUCUCGCAGAUACUUUUUUAUGUUCCCUCUAGUUCUGAAAAUUUAGUUUAUCUUAUCUGCUUAGAUCGUUCUUGGAUUUCAGUUUAUUUAGUUUGUGGAAAACUCAGUUUGAAUUUAAUUCAAUAAUUUGUUUGGUAAGUUAUGUGCUGGUUUAUAUAAAUUGCCUUAAUCAUGAUUUUUGCACAAUCUUUGGUAACCCUGCACGAAUGUUGGUUCAAACGUAGUCAUGAAUGAAAAUAUCACCUUGUGGCAUAAACGACUGGGACUAUUUCAAAGGAUAGCCAUUGACGAUGGUAAAGAAUGGGAUUUUGGAAAAUCUUCUAAAUUUUACUGAUUUUUGAAAUAGGUAGAUUGCAUUAAAGGAAAGCAAACCAAACAUACAAAGAAGGAUCCACAGAAGUAUGAGCUUCUUGAAAAAUUCACACCAACGGAUAUUUUUCGAAAUUUCCACCUCCAUGUAUUUAGUGGACACAAUAUUUUAUCCACCUUUAUAAUAUUUCUCACGGUAUGUGGAUAUUGUAUCUAUUCAUGAAAAGUCUCGGGCCGUUGACAUUCUUGAAGUGUACAUUCUGAGGUCGAGAGACAAUUAGAUAGAAAAGUAAAAAUAUGAGAUCAGAUGAGUUGUGAAUUUUAUUGUAAAUAUUGAUGAGUCAGUGCCAAAAUCCUGGCCCAUGUUUGCCAAACUCUUAUAAAAGCGAGGCAUUCGUGCUCAAUACACCAAUGCCUGGUACGCCACAGCAAAUGGGAGUGCUGAAGGCGUAUCGUACAUUCUGGAAGAUUCGGUUAGGAGUAAUGAUGAGUUUCGAACGAAUGUACCCAAUUCUUUGUGGAGUGAAAGCACUUAAAACCGCAAUGUAUAUCUUUUGAAUAGGGUUCCUAGUAACGGCGUCCCAACAACUCCUUUUGAGUUGUUGACGGGAGGAACCCAGUUUUGAGACAUUUAUUGUUUGGGGUUGUCCAGCAGAGGCUUAGAAUCUAUAAUCCCCAAGAGAAAUUAAGAUUCUAGAACAUUUCUGGGUAUUUCAUUGGUUACCAGAAAAAUCUAAAAGGGGUACAGAUUCUAUUGUCCUACCCAUAGUACUAGAAUAGUUGAACACCGGAAAUACUAAUCUAGAGAAUGGCAAUUAGUGGGAGUUAGAACAAGAAAGGAUGAGUUUGCGAUGCAAUAAUGAGUUGACAAUCCCAACAAUUUCUUCCUCUCAAGUAUUGUCACUCCUCGGACUAACCAGCAGUCUGAGGAGAAUGAACAACCGAAAUAAAUGAUUCUCCACUCCAUGAGGACAUCGCCAUUGAAAAUAAUGUAAGAACCACCACAACCGGCAGUCUAAGAAGAUCCCUCAAAGGGAAAAGAAUCUGCAUCCCAAAUGAUUAUUGGUUAUCACAAGAAUCUGAUUUGACAUUGGGAUUAGAAAGGAUCCUGUUUUCAUUUCACAGGUCGGCCAUUAGUAUUGAGAUUCUAUAAUGGGUUGAUGCCAUGAAUGAUGAGUUGAAAUCUAUGUGCCGAAUAGUCCUGGAUCUCGUUGAAUUGCCUUCUAUUGCAAGAAAUCGGUUGUAUGGGUCUUUAAAGACGCAACUGAUUCAAAAAAAGGCAAUAUCGACGAUUUACGGCCAGACUUGGUGGCUAAGGGUUUCACUCAGAAAGAAUGGAGUGACUACAAGAGACCUUUCUCCAGUAUCUAAGAAGGACUCGCUUAGAAUCCAUUUUGGCCCUUGUAGCUCAUUAUUACUUAGAACUACAAUCAGAUGGAUUGUGAAAACCGCUUUUCUAAUGUAGUUUGGUGAAAAAUUUACAUUGAACAACCUGAAGGAUUGCAAAGAAAGGGAA
rnacentral:lncRNA from 1 species